ensembl:snRNA U6 U6 spliceosomal RNA
GUGCUCAUUUUAGUAGCACAUACAUUAAAAUUGGAAUAAUACAGAGAUUGUAAUGCAUGGUCCCUGCUCAAGGAGGACACACAAAUUUGUGAAAUGUCCCAUUUUUCG